CCCAGACAUAGUGACUGAAAGCCACAAGUUCCUGACAGCUGUUAACUCAAAUGAGGAAUACAACCAACCUAAUGCGGAAUUCUGUUGGCUUCUGCCAAACAUCAACAUGACUAUAAGGUGCUGCAUUCAGCUCAGGGUUCCUGUCCUUGAUCUCAAUAUGCUGCAUAUGCAAACAGCCAUAAGAAUAGCUGAAUAGCCCCACUGGGACGGAGGGCGGAGAACUGAUUCAAAUUCAGCUACGGUGCUU